ensembl:lncRNA
CCCAUGGACACACAAGCUCCUCUUUAGUGGGGAAGACUUUUACUUUGAAAAAUACUCUGACAGUAAGUAAGGUUCAGUUACUCAAGAAACACCUGCCUUCAGGCCGUGUGUGAAGCAUUUCGGGGGCGCAUCAGGUGAGCCGGGGAAGCAGGCUUGGGGAUUGCCCGGCCUUGUAACGUUCCUUCACUGGUCCAGGUGCGCGCCCAGCGCGGAUGGGUACAGAGAGCUUUCCUGCAGAGGCUUCAGUUGGCGGAGGCGACUCACCGUCCUUGCGGGGCGGGCGGAGGGUGUUCAGGAGGGCGGGACGCGGCCGGGGAAGGGGUGCGGGCGGUCACAGGCCCGUCGGUCGGGCGCCCUCUCCCCUGACCUCCGAGUCUCCGCCACAGACACGGCUGAGCUCACCCGCCCUCCCGCCGGCAGGAGGAAGGCGCCCGGAAAACGUCCACUUUGGGGAACUCUGUUUCUGGGGUCCGUCUACCUGAGGGCAGCCUCGGGGUCCGUAAGGGCUCUGUGCCCGACCCCGCUUCCCUCCGACGCGCGCUCGGCCCGCCGGCAGCAGCCGCCUCUCCGCGGUUGGCUCCGCGCUCGCCCGGCCUCCGCGCUGCCGGCCCCGCCCCUCCCCGCGCCGCCCCGGCUCCGCCCCUCCCGGCUCCGCCCCGGCGUCUUCGGGCGGGGAGGGAGACCAGGGCGCGCUUCUGCCCUCCCGGCGUGAGGGCUCUGCGCCGGGCCUCCCAGCGCAGGGGCGGGCCGGCUCCCUGCGGCCGGCGCUGGGGGCCUCGCUGACUGGGUCCCGCCCCUCAGGCCUCUCAGCUUCAGGGAUGUGACAUGAACGCCCUUUGUGGUGAGAAAGGAGGCGGAGGAGAGAGAGGAAAGGCUCACCCCGUGACCAGGAAAGCUGCAGCCGCAGGAGGGGGAGGGGGAGCUCCCGGGGGGGCGGUGGGCAGGGGCGGGGUGCGCCCACCCAGUGUGGGCCCUGCCAGGCGCCUGGCGUCUCAGGCCCCGUGCCCCUGCUGUGACGUCCGCUGGUCCCACUGAGACCCCACACGCUGCAGCCGCGGGCCCGGGCCAGACCGGGCGGGGGUGGGGGUCCCUCGGAGGGGCAGACCGGGCGCUGUCGUUCUCCCAGGCUCUUGCUUCUCCUCUCGGCACUUCCCUCUGUCACCUGUUUAUGAAUCUUGUCUCCCCAGACCCCCUCCCCGCCCCCCGCACCCCAAGCCAAGCCCAGGCAGCAGCUCAGGGAGGGGCCAGGCCACCGGUUACAGUCACAGUACCCGCCUCUCAGCUCAGCGGCCGCGGUGACUGGCAACAAGAUGACGUCAUGACCUCUGACCCCUCAGCAGGAGGCCCUGCGUUGGAGGGAAGGAGAGUUACUGACGUCAGUGGGCGGUGGUCAGGCUAACUGCCCUGGAAGUGAGCCUGGGGACCUGCAGGAAGGGGGAGCGGUGAUCCCUGGCUCCCCUGAGCUGUAGACGCUCUCCUUGCCCACCUCCCGGUCAUGUCCCCAUCCUCCCCCCCCCCAAUAACGGGCUGGACCUGGGCCUGUUCUACUUCCCCCGGCUCAUGAGGCUCAUCAGGGGCUCAUAUCAGCCCCCAAGAGCCAAGGUCAGCAGAGGGGGGACACAGUCCUGCCUUUUACUAGUGAGUACACGUCAAAUGAUCGAUGAUGAUUAAGUGCUCACAACAAAUGCCUGGAGGAUCCAGCGGCUUUCUGUAGGGCGCGUCCUCCUGCUUCAGGGGAGGAAGGCCCGUCCCCGGCUUCCUGCCGGUCCCGCAUCUGUUUGUGAGCUUUGCGCCUCCUCCGGGCUCUGGCAUCUGUUACCUCCAUGCAACACGGGGUCAAACCCUAUGGUUUUCCCAGUAGUCACGUACAGAUGUGAGAGUUGGCCCCUAAAGAAGGCUGAACACUGAAAAUUGAUGCUUUUGAACUGUGGUGCUGGAGAAGACUCUUGAGUCCCUUGUACAGCAAGGAGAUCAAACCAGUCAAUCCUAAAGGAAAUCAACCCUGAAUAUACAUUGGAAGGACUGGUGCUAAAGCUCCAAUACUUUGGCCACCUGAUGGGAAGACCUGACUCAUUGGAAAAAACCCUGAUGCUGCGAAAGACUGAAGGCAGGAGGAGAAGGGGACGAUAGAGGAGGAGAUGGUUGAAUGGCAUCACUGACUUAAUGGACAUGUGUGGGGCCCUAAAUGGGAAACCUUGAAAAAAGAAGGGCUAGCUUUGCGGUUUAGAGCUAAGAUGGCGCCUGGCGGAAGAGAUGAGGGCGUGGCCUAAGUUGUUUGUUAAAACUUUUGAUUGGCGCUCUUGAUUUCCAUGCACGUGGACAGCGGGUGAUCACCAUAGACUGUUGUUACAAUGAAGCGCAUAACGACUUGACCUUUAACGUGAUUGGUGCAACUAUGGCAUAUUACAAUUUGACCUUUAACGUGAUUGGUGCAACCUUCGCAAAACCCCCUUGCUUGCCUAUAUAAACCAAGAGUUUGUGGCAAUAAAGCGGAACUACUUAGACGGAACCCCUGUCGCGUCUGAUUGUCUCUCACUCUCGGAGGGGCUGGGUUGGGGACAGCAGGCUCACCUCUCCUCGGGACCCCUCGGCUUUGCUGAGGGAAGUUCCACUGCCUCUCUUUCUGCGGAGCGCCCCCUGCAGGCAUGGACUUGAGCAAACUCUGGGAGAUGGAGAAGGACAGGGAAGCCUCACAUGCUGCAGUUCACGGGGCUGCAGAGUCAGACAUGACUCAGCAAGUGAUCAAGGGUCAGCAAACUAUGAAUCCUGGUCUGAAUCGAGUCCAUCGGUGUUUGUGUAAAUAAAGUUUUAUUGGCACUCAGCCAUGCUUGUUGGUCGUAUCCCCUGUGCUACUAUGAGCUUCAAGGGCAGCCCUAAGCUGCUGUGACCGAGACCACAUGGACCUGGAGAAGAAGUUUACGCCUGGCCCUUUGCAAGAAACCGCGCUGCCCCAGGUUCAUCAUGUAGCUUUCAUAGCUAAUCUAGGAUUUCCAGCACUUACCCUGAUCUAGCACUGGAAAUACAACGGUGAGGGAAAACCCCUCAUGGGCUCCCUCAGGCCCUGAGAGAGACACGGUCAGACCCCUCCCACAGGAGGCUGAGCGCCGUGGUGGUGAGCAUGAGGAGCAGAGGGUCCUGGGUGGCACAGAGGGCUGACAGGCUAGUGAGGGGCUGGGGACACCUCUGCUUAGAGUUGCAGGGUGAGCAGGCGUUCUCCAG